ACCGAAUUGGUGUAGUGGCUAACAUUUGACGCUCUCAUUUGCUCUUCCAAUGUUCUUGGAUUGGUUCUAGAAGUGCCGUCAAGCCCGGGGUUCGAUUCCCCGAUUCGGAG